GUACAAAAGCUCAAGGUUUCAAAGUGAUGAACAGAGGACUGCGAACAAUUGGAGAGAAGAAAACACACAGAAGAGGGUUACUUUUAACAGUAUGUAUGACUAGUUGAUCAACUUCUUAAGGUGGCGUUUCAAUGAAAAAGUUAACGAGCUUCUUAAGUUAUCUUUUCAAUGAAAAGUUGACCAACUUCUGGAUCUUUUUGUAUGUUAUGUAACAUCAUUGGGUUUUACCAAGUCCAAUGGUGGUGGAGCAGUUGCAACCAUGAUCUUGC
rnacentral:misc_RNA from 1 species